rnacentral:rRNA from 1 species
UAGGGAAUCUUCGGCAAUGGACGGAAGUCUGACCGAGCAACGCCGCGUGAGUGAAGAAGGUUUUCGGAUCGUAAAGCUCUGUUGUAAGAGAAGAACGAGUGUGAGAGUGGAAAGUUCACACUGUGACGGUAUCUUACCAGAAAGGGACGGCUAACUACGUGCCAGCAGCCGCGGUAAUACGUAGGUCCCGAGCGUUGUCCGGAUUUAUUGGGCGUAAAGCGAGCGCAGGCGGUUAGAUAAGUCUGAAGUUAAAGGCUGUGGCUUAACCAUAGUAGGCUUUGGAAACUGUUUAACUUGAGUGCAAGAGGGGAGAGUGGAAUUCCAUGUGUAGCGGUGAAAUGCGUGGAUAUAUGGAGGAACACCGGUGGCGAAAGCGGCUCUCUGGCUUGUAACUGACGCUGAGGCUCGAAAGCGUGGGGAGCAAACAGGAUUAGAUACCCUGGUAGUCCACGCUGUAAACGAUGAGUGCUAGGUGUUAGACCCUUUCCGGGGUUUAGUGCCGUAGCUAACGCAUUAAGCACUCCGCCUGGGGAGUACGACCGCAAGGUUG